UCCAGUUAUUUUACUGAGGAAAUGAUUGCAAAACUGUACAGCAUGGAUAAAGUCCAUGACAAGGAUUCUAUCGAGUAUGGCAUUCCGGAGAGGAGAUAUUGGAGAUAUGACUCUUGUGAGUCUUACUUAAGAGCUGGAAGUGAUGAAGAGGAUUACAUGGCCAUAGAAGACAGCGAAAGCGAUGAAAAAGCU